UGCGCGGGCCCGGGCGCCGCUCUAGCUGCGCGGGCCCCGCCGAGCGCGCAGCGCCGGGGCCCCUCGCGGCCGCCCCGCGCCCGGCCACAGCGCCACCUUCGGCCCUCGGCCCGCCCGCCGGGGCCCCGCGGCUCGGAGAGGCCGGACUCGGCCUCCGGCGGCGGCCUUCGUCGCGCCGCGGGGCCGCAGCGAGAACGCGGCUCGCGGCCGCCGGAAUUGGGGGCGGGACGCGCGCGGUCCGCGGGCAGGGCCGGGGCCGAGCCUGCACCAGCGCCCGCGGGGAGCCCGCGGGAACCGCCGUGGACCCGAGUCACCUUCCGGGGCCGCUGUCACCCACAGCCCCGAAGCCCCGGGGCGCGCCGGGUGGGCAGGCCGGACUCGCCGCCUAAAGGCGCCUGAACAGAAACGCCGGCUCGCCGGCCCCUCCGCCAGCCCGGCGCGGCGCCUGCAGCGGUAUUUUAAGGUCGUUGUGGGGAACCGAGACCUCGCUGCCAGGGCGGAACUGGAUGAAUCCGAUUUAUUCUGUGUGGUUCAGCGCGGACUUUGGGGCGCUGUGUGCCAGGCAGGCACUUUGAAGCGUACAGAACUGUAAAAUCCAGAGUUUGGAUCUGGAUCUGAGGAAAUCUUUCCAUUUUGGAAGCCUACUGCGUCCAUCCAAUCUUCUGUUCAACAAACGCAGACCCUGCACUUAUGAGGCGGGAUAUAUUGCUGAACAAAAGACACAAAAUUAACAGCCUCCUGAGGGGAACAAUCUAAUUCUGUGCAGACGUCUUCUCAUCUUUGGGCUACUGUGACAUCUUCUUAACCCAACUUCUUAAGUUUACUUCCCAUAAUCUUUGCUAUAUCCACCUUCCAGAGUGAUUUUUCAUGAAUAAAAUUUUAGUUUCAUCA